rnacentral:lncRNA from 1 species
CCACGUUGACCACGAGCCAGCGCGAGCCCAGCACGGGCACCAGCUCCUGCUUGCCCAGCAGCGUGAUGAAGUAGAGCCCCAGAGUGAGAAGCCAGAAGAGCACCGACACGAAGAGCGCGAAGUGCACUGGGCCCUGAUACUCUAUCAGGGACCCAGAAAAGUGACCCAGAGUCUGUGUCACACUGGAAUCAAAACCCGUGUUCUGACAGCCCCUGCAGGGAUGUGCUCGGUGCCCUUGACUAUGGUUGAGACUCUAACGUGCUUCUAUCAGCUGAAUCUGGAUGCUGGACCGCUGAAGGCAUUUCUAUGAGCAGGGAGCCUAAGCCAACUGACACGAAGAGGAAGGAGAAAGGAUUCGUCCAUCUUACCAAAAUAAAUAAAGAAAGAAAGAAAGAAAGAA